CCUACGGGUGACAGCAGUGAGGAAUAUUGGUCAAUGGCCGGAACGCUGAACCAGCCAUGCCGCGUGAGGGUCAGUGCCCUAUGGGCGUUAAACUUCUUUUGUGCGGGAGCAAUAAUGGUCACGUGUGGCCAGACGAGAGGACCGUACGAAUAAGCAUCGGCUAACUCCGUGCCAGCAGCCGCGGUAAUACGGAGGAUCCGAGCGUUAUCCGGAUUUAUUGGGUUUAAAGGGAGCGUAGAUGGGUUGUUAAGUCAGUUGUGAAAGUUUGCGGCUCAACCGUAAAAUUGCAAUUGAUACUGGCAGUCUUGAGUAAAGUUGAGGUAGGCGGAAUUCGUGGUGUAGCGGUGAAAUGCUUAGAUAUCACGAAGAACCCCGAUUGCGAAGGCAGCUUACUAAACUGUGACUGACAUUGAUGCUCGAAAGUGUGGGUAUCAAACAGGAUUAGAUACCCGGGUAGUC
rnacentral:rRNA from 1 species